rnacentral:rRNA from 1 species
AGUGGUGUAUUUAUCAAGUUGAAAAUACAACUCAUUUUGGAAGCUAAGCAGGGUUGGGCCUGGUUAGUGCUUGGAUGGGAGACCACCUAGGAAGACCAGGUACUGUAGGUG